rnacentral:rRNA from 1 species
CUCCUACGGGAGGCAUCAGUAGGGAAUAUUGCUCAAUGGGCGAAAGCCUGAAGCAGCAACGCCGCGUGGAGGAUGAAGGUCUUCGGAUUGUAAACUCCUUUUCUAAGAGAAGAUUAUGACGGUAUCUUAGGAAUAAGCACCGGCUAACUCCGUGCCAGCAGCCGCGGUAAUACGGAGGGUGCAAGCGUUACUCGGAAUCACUGGGCGUAAAGAGCACGUAGGCGGCCUUGCAAGUCAGAUGUGAAAUCCAACGGCUUAACCGUUGAACUGCAUUUGAAACUGCAAGGCUAGAGUAUGGGAGAGGUAGGUGGAAUUCUCGGUGUAGGGGUAAAAUCCGUAGAGAUCGAGAGGAAUACUCAUUGCGAAGGCGACCUGCUGGAACAUUACUA